rnacentral:rRNA from 1 species
ACGUAGGGUGCGAGCGUUGCCCGGAUUUAUUGGGCGUAAAGGGCGCGCAGGCGGCUACGCACGUCCGUUGUGAAAUCGCUCGGCUCAACUGGGCGGGGUCAGCGGAUACGGCGUGGCUGGAGCAAGCUAGGGGGCAAUGGAAUUCCCGGUGUAGUGGUGGAAUGCGUAGAUAUCGGUAGGAACACCAGUGGCGAAGGCGGUUGCCUGGAGCUUUGCUGACGCUGAGGCGCGAAAGCGUGGGGAGCGAUCCGG